rnacentral:rRNA from 1 species
UACAGAGGGUGCGAGCGUUAAUCGGAAUUACUGGGCGUAAGGCGUGCGUAGACGGUUAUUUAAGUCGGAUGUGAAAGCCCCGGGCUCAACCUGGGAAUUGCAUUCGAGACUGAAUAGCUAGGGUACGGUAGAGGGAAGUGGAAUUUCCGGUGUAGCGGUGAAAUGCGUAGAUAUCGGAAGGAACAUCAGUGGCGAAAGCGACUUCCUGGACCAGUACCGACGUUCAGGCACGAAAGCGUGGGGAGCAAACAGG